UACAGAGGUCCCAAGCGUUGUUCGGAAUUACUGGGCGUAAAGGGAGCGUAGGCGGGCUCUUAAGUUGGAUGUUUAAAACCGGGGCCUAACCCCGGCGUGGCAUCCAAAACUGGGAGUCUUGAAUGGGACAGAGGCCAGUGGAAUUAGAGGUGUAGCGGUGGAAUGCGUAGAUAUCUCUAAGAACACCAGUUGCGAAGGCGGCUGGCUGGGUCCACAUUGACGCUGAGGCUCGAAAGCGUGGGGAGCAAACAGG
rnacentral:rRNA from 1 species